rnacentral:tRNA from 1 species
GCGUCCGUAGCUCAGUUGGUUAGAGCACCACCUUGACAUGGUGGGGGUCGGUGGUUCGAGUCCACUCGGACGGCGCA